GCCAGACUCCUACGGGAGGCAGCAGUGGGGGAUAUUGCACAAUGGGGGGAACCCUGAUGCAGCGACGCCGCGUGGGUGAAGGAGUAUUUCGGUAUGUAAAGCCCUAUCGGCAGGGAAGAAGCAAGACGGUACCUGACUAAGAAGCCCCGGCUAACUACGUGCCAGCAGCCGCGGUAAUACGUAGGGGGCGAGCGUUAUCCGGAUUCACUGGGUGUAAAGGGAGCGUAGACGGCCAAGCAAGCCAGGGGUGAAAGCCCGGGGCUCAACCCCGGGACUGCAUUUGGAACUGUGUGGCUGGAGUGUCGGAGAGGCAGGCGGAAUUCCUAGUGUAGCGGUGAAAUGCGUAGAUAUUAGGAGGAACACCAGUGGCGAAGGCGGCCUGCUGGACGAUGACUGACGUUGAGGCUCGAAAGCGUGGGGAGCAAACAGGAUUAGAUACCCCGGUACA
rnacentral:rRNA from 1 species